rnacentral:rRNA from 1 species
CCUACGGGGGGCAGCAGUAGGGAAUCUUCCACAAUGGGCGCAAGCCUGAUGGAGCAACACCGCGUGAGUGAAGCAGGGUUUCGGCUCGUAAAGCUCUGUUGUUGGAGAAGAACGUGCGUGAGAGUAACUGUUCACGCAGUGACGGUAUCCAACCAGCAAGUCACGGCUGACUACGGUCCAGCAGCCGCGGUAAUACGUAGGUGGCAAGCAUUAUCCGGCUUUAUUGGGCGUAAAGCGAGCGCAGGCGGUUGCGUAGGUCUGAUGUGAAAGCCUUCGGCGUAAACGAAGAAGUGCAUCGGAAACCGGGCGACUUGAGUGCAGAAGAGGACAGUGGAACCCCAUGUGUAGCGGUGGAAUGCGUAGAUAUAUGGAAGAACACCAGUGGCGAAGGCGGCGGUCUGGUCUGCAACUGACGCUGAGGCUCGAAAGCAUGGGUAGCGAACAGGAUUAGAUACCCUUGUAGUC